AGUUAAUCGGAUGAUCGCGUGUAGUAAUUAUACGAGGAAAGUCCGAGCACCGCAGAGCAGGACGCCGGCUAACUACCGGUGAAGGCGACUUCAAGGAAAGUGCAACAGAGAUAUACCGCCGAAUAUAUUCGGUAAGGGUGGAAAGGGGAGGUAAAAGCUCACCGACGGAUUUGGUAACUUAUCCGCCAUGUAAACCCCGUUCGGUGCAAGACAGGAAGCGUUUUAACGCGGCUCGCCAGCUUCCGGUAUUCGCUUGAACGCAUUGGUAACAAUGCGCCUAGAUAGAUGGUCAUCCAAGACAGAACUCGGCUUACAGAUUAACUCUU
rnacentral:RNase_P_RNA from 1 species